ensembl:lncRNA
CAAGAUGUCAUUGGAAGGAAGGUACCAGAACCACAGUCAUCUUUAUGAAGAUGAAGCUAAGUAACCAUGGUUCCGGAUCCAACAUGUACUUCUCAGCCUGUUUGCUUAACUGACUACUUGACUGCUUGACUGUGUUGAAUCUGUAUGGUGACCCGUUGAAGGUGGCAGCUUGGCUGCCGGUUGCUGCACAGCUUGGCAGCACUCCUCCAGUCCAUUGCUAUAAUGAAAAUUGGCAGCUCUUGAGAAAAGCAGUAACCAUUCAGAAGACAGCACCUGCUCUGUGGACCAUGAACAGAAGAGGAAGCUCUCCGGCCCAAAUAUGAUGCCAUUUUUCAAAUUUUGAGAGGUAGCCCUGUUAGCCCUGUUCAAAGAUUAGUCACUCUCAGAGCAGGAGAUGGUCAGGCCAUCUCAUCCCAAAUGUCUUGUCAUCCAUGAUCUUGCUCCCAUGAUCAAAAGUUUGAAGUUUAAGGGCCAUAAUACCUCAAGAGCAUUAUCCUUUCUCUUUGGACUUUUAUCAAAUUAGGGCACAAGAUGCUUCAACAGCG